AGUAAAUAGAUACCCAGGUAGUCCACGCCGUAAACGAUGUCGACUUGGAGGUUGUGCCCUUGAGGCGUGGCUUCCGGAGCUAAACGCGUUAAGUCGACCGCCUGGGGAGUACGGCCGCAAGGUUAAAACUCAAAUGAAUUGACGGGGGCCCGCACAAGCGGUGGAGCAUGUGGUUUAAUUCGAUGCAACGCGAAGAACCUUACCUACUCUUGACAUCCAGAGAACUUAGCAGAGAUGCUUUGGUGCCUUCGGGAACUCUGAGACAGGUGCUGCAUGGCUGUCGUCAGCUCGUGUUGUGAAAUGUUGGGUUAAGUCCCGCAACGAGCGCAACCCUUAUCCUUUGUUGCCAGCGGUCCGGCCGGGAACUCAAAGGAGACUGCCAGUGAUAAACUGGAGGAAGGUGGGGAUGACGUCAAGUCAUCAUGGCCCUUACGAGUAGGGCUACACACGUGCUACAAUGGCGCAUACAAAGAGAAGCGACCUCGCGAGAGCAAGCGGACCUCAUAAAGUGCGUCGUAGUCCGG
rnacentral:rRNA from 1 species